ACGCACGCUGGCGGCGUGCUUCACACAUGCAAGUCGCACGGAAAGGCCCUGCUUUUGUGGGGUGCUCGAGUGGCGAACGGGUGAGUAACACGUGAGUAACCUGCCCUUGACUUUGGGAUAACUUCAGGAAACUGGGGCUAAUACCGGAUAGGAGCUCCUGCUGCAUGGUGGGGGUUGGAAAGUUUCGGCGGUUGGGGAUGGACUCGCGGCUUAUCAGCUUGUUGGUGGGGUAGUGGCUUACCAAGGCUUUGACGGGUAGCCGGCUUGAGAGGGUGACCGGCCACAUUGGGACUGAGAUACGGCCCAGACUCCUACGGGAGGCAGCAGUGGGGAAUAUUGCACAAUGGGCGGAAGCCUGAUGCAGCAACGCCGCGUGCGGGAUGACGGCCUUCGGGUUGUAAACCGCUUUCGCCUGUGACGAAGCGUGAGUGACGGUAAUGGGUAAAGAAGCACCGGCUAACUACGUG
rnacentral:rRNA from 1 species